UACGUAGGGGGCGAGCGUUGUCCGGAUUUAUUGGGCGUAAAGAGCGUGUAGGCGGUUCGGUAAGUCUGCCGUGAAAACCUGAGGCUCAACCUCGGGCGUGCGGUGGAUACUGCCGGGCUAGAGGACGGUAGAGGCGAGUGGAAUUCCCGGUGUAGCGGUGAAAUGCGCAGAUAUCAGGAAGAACACCCGUGGCGAAGGCGGCUCUCUGGGACGGUACUGACGCUGAGACGCGAAAGCGUGGGGAGCGAACAGG
rnacentral:rRNA from 1 species